GAUGAACGCUGGCGGCGUGCCUAAUACAUGCAAGUCGAGCGAACAGACGAGGAGCUUGCUCCUCUGACGUUAGCGGCGGACGGGUGAGUAACACGUGGAUAACCUACCUAUAAGACUGGGAUAACUUCGGGAAACCGGAGCUAAUACCGGAUAAUAUAUUGAACCGCAUGGUUCAAUAGUGAAAGACGGUUUUGCUGUCACUUAUAGAUGGAUCCGCGCCGCAUUAGCUAGUUGGUAAGGUAACGGCUUACCAAGGCAACGAUGCGUAGCCGACCUGAGAGGGUGAUCGGCCACACUGGAACUGAGACACGGUCCAGACUCCGACGGGAGGCAGCAGUAGGGAAUCUUCCGCAAUGGGCGAAAGCCUGACGGAGCAACGCCGCGUGAGUGAUGAAGGUCUUCGGAUCGUAAAACUCUGUUAUUAGGGAGGAACAAAUGUGUAAGUAACUAUGCACGUCUUGACGGUACCUAAUCAGAAAGCCACGGCUAACUACGUG
rnacentral:rRNA from 1 species